GACGAACGCUGGCGGCGUGCUUAACACAUGCAAGUCGAACGAUGAAGCUGGAGCUUGCUCCAGUGGAUUAGUGGCGAACGGGUGAGUAACACGUGAGCAAUCUGCCCUUGACUCUGGGAUAACUGCGGGAAACUGUAGCUAAUACCGGAUACGACACCUUGGGGCAUCCCGGGGUGUGGAAAGAAUUUCGGUCAAGGAUGAGCUCGCGGCCUAUCAGCUUGUUGGUGAGGUAAAGGCUCACCAAGGCGACGACGGGGAGCCGGCCUGCGAGGGUGACCGGCCACACUGGAACUGGGACACGGUCCAGACUCCUACGGGAGGCAGCAGUGGGGAAUAUUGCACAAUGGGCGAAAGCCUGAUGCAGCAACGCCGCGUGAGGGAUGGCGGCCUUCGGGUUGUAAACCUCUUUUAGCAGGGAAGAAGCGAAAGUGACGGUACCUGCAGAAAAAGCACCGGCUAACUACGUGCCAGCCGCCGCCGUAA
rnacentral:rRNA from 1 species